AAUAAAGUGCCUGAAAAAAGGAUUUUUUUGAUGGAAUAAAAAAUGUAAUUUAUUUACCUUUAUUA
rnacentral:tRNA from 1 species